GUGACAUGAUUUUCGAGGGAAAACAUCUGCACAGGCUUCAGUUUCGGCAAGAAAUAAUCUUAAAUGCUUCAACCCAAACAGAAGAACAGAAUGGCCUGCAGUGACAACGCAAUGAAGAGGUAAACACUUCCUGGGGUACCAUCAGUGAGAGACGUGCAUUUAGUGUAGUAUCCGGUAAUACUAGACAGGACAGAUGAGGUCAACAUGUGUUGGUUCAUCAGCAGCAUAACAGCACAAUGUGCCAGAACACUGACACCACACAGAUAAAGGGAGAGAGAGAGA